GCGGGGUAUGCAGCACAGAAUAUGCACCCCUUGUCAAGUACUCUGUUUGCAUGAGCGGUUUCAGAUGGUCCACCUACUCAUUCUGAUGAUCAGCCUCUGGAAGAAUGGACAUAUCCAUGGCUACCAGUCAGAACAGGGACAAUCACAUCACAGGACACGGGAAAGGGGCAGCUAUAAAGAGCAGGACCAAUGGCACUACUAAUGUACUCAGCAAUCCCCAUCGGACUGACUGCUCUCCAGAGCCCUGGCUGACAACACAGAGUGAUGACAGAGCUUCUGUGUCUUGUGAAAAGACUAUCCUUUCUCAGUAACUUUGUCAAGAGUCCAUUGAUCAAGUAAAUGAUGUACAAUCCAAAAGUGAAAAUAUGAUGCACAGAAGAAAAGAAGCAGAAUGAGAUGAGCACCGUAAGCUGCAGAUUGUGAAGAAAAGUCCUCCCCUAUUUCUCAGAUUCUUCUGGAAGGACUCUUGGAUUGCAAAGUUGGCAGUCGAAAAUGGUUAACAAUCAUCAGAUGAAGCUCAGGGAUGGAGAUUAUUCACUGGCCCAACUCUCAAGUCCAAACAGAGAAAUGGGUUGAAGGCACGGGGAUACUGCAAUGGUGUU